UACGUAGGUGGCAAGCGUUGUCCGGAAUUACUGGGUGUAAAGGGAGCGUAGGCGGGAAGGCAAGUCAGAUGUGAAAUCCACAGGCUUAACCUGUGGCGUGCAUUUGAAACUGUUUUUCUUGAGUGCAGAAGAGGAGAGUGGAACUCCAUGUGUAGCGGUGAAAUGCGUAGAUAUUCGGAGGAACACCAGUGGCGAAGGCGGCCUGCUGGGCUUUUACUGACGCUGAUGCUCGAAAGCAUGGGUAGCAA
rnacentral:rRNA from 1 species